GGAGGAAUAUUGGUCAAUGGGCGAGAGCCUGAACCAGCCAAGUAGCGUGCAGGAUGACGGCCCUACGGGUUGUAAACUGCUUUUAUGAAGGAAUAAAGUCACCCACGUGUGGGUGUUUGCAUGUACUUUAUGAAUAAGGACCGGCUAAUUACGUGCCAGCAGCCGCGGUAAUACGGAGGAUGCGAGCGUUAUCCGGAUUUAUUGGGUUUAAAGGGUGCGCAGGCGGACUCGUCAAGUCAGCGGUAAAAAUUCGGGGCUCAACCCCGUCCUGCCGUUGAAACUGCGAGACUGGAGUGCGACAGAGGAAGGCGGAAUGCGAGGUGUAGCGGUGAAAUGCAUAGAUAUCGCGCAGAACUCCGAUUGCGAAGGCAGCUUUCCAUGUCGUAACUGACGCUGAGGCACGAAAGCGUGGGGAUCGAACAGGAUUAGAUACCCUGGUAGU
rnacentral:rRNA from 1 species